rnacentral:ncRNA from 1 species
GAUAACAAUGACUAAUCAUUAGUUAAGCUGGUUAGUAGGGGUAGCUUCAACGACUGAGCUGCUUAGGCUUGGUGUACCAAGAAAAUGCAUAUUCUAAAUUGUGAAAGUGGCAUCUUUCUUUUAGACUGCCACUUUCUAACUAUGUGUCAGCAGCCGCAGUAAGACAAAGGAUGUAAGCCUUAUUUAGAAUGAUUAGGCGUAAAGCAUCUGUAGGUGGCUUUUUAAGUUCGCCUCAAAUCCUAAGGCUCAACCAUGGACAAGCGAUGGAAACUACCAAGUUGGAGUACGGAAUUUCUAGUGGAAGUGAAGUGCGUAGAGAUCGGAAAAAAUACCAACAACGAAAGCACUUUGUUGGACUGACACUGACACUGAGAGACAAAAGCUAGGGGAGCAAAUGGGAUUAGAUACCCUAGUAGUUCUAGUCAUAAACGAUAGAUACUAGGUGUUGUGCAUAUCAACCCGUGCAAUGUUGUAGCAAACGCGUUAAGUAUUCAGCC